GACGAACCGUGCGAACGUUGUUCGGAAUCACUGGGCUUAAAGGGCGCGUAGGCGGUUGACCAAGUCCGGGGUGAAAUCUUUCGGCUUAACCGGAAAAGUGCCUUGGAUACUGGUCAGCUAGAGGGAUGUAGGGGCAGCUGGAACUCCAGUGGAGCGGUGAAAUGCGUUGAUAUUGGAAGGAACGCCGGUGGCGAAAGCGAGCUGCUGGACAUCUUCUGACGCUGAGGCGCGAAAGCUAGGGGAGCAAACGGG
rnacentral:rRNA from 1 species